UACGGAGGAUGCAAGCGUUAUCCGGAUUUAUUGGGCGUAAAGCGUCCGCAGGUGGCUAUACAAGUCUGCUGUUAAAGCGUGGGGCUUAACUCCAUACAGGCAGUGGAAACUGUAAAGCUAGAGUCUGGUAGGGGUCACGGGAAUUCCCAGUGUAGCGGUGAAAUGCGUAGAUAUUGGGAAGAACACCAGCGGCGAAAGCGCGUGACUGGACCGGAACUGACACUCAUGGACGAAAGCUAGGGGAGCGAAAGGG
rnacentral:rRNA from 1 species